CACUCCGCGGGAGGCAGCAGUGGGGAAUAUUGGACAAUGGGCGCAAGCCUGAUCCAGCCAUGCCGCGUGAGUGAUGAAGGCCCUAGGGUUGUAAAGCUCUUUCACCGGUGAAGAUAAUGACGGUAACCGGAGAAGAAGCCCCGGCUAACUUCGUGCCAGCAGCCGCGGUAAUACGAAGGGGGCUAGCGUUGUUCGGAUUUACUGGGCGUAAAGCGCACGUAGGCGGACUAUUAAGUCAGGGGUGAAAUCCCGGGGCUCAACCCCGGAACUGCCUUUGAUACUGGUAGUCUUGAGUUCGAGAGAGGUGAGUGGAAUUCCGAGUGUAGAGGUGAAAUUCGUAGAUAUUCGGAGGAACACCAGUGGCGAAGGCGGCUCACUGGCUCGAUACUGACGCUGAGGUGCGAAAGCGUGGGGAGCAAACAGGAUUAGAAACCCCGGUAGUCCCAUGA
rnacentral:rRNA from 1 species